rnacentral:snoRNA from 1 species
GAUGAAUGGUGUGCACGGUGCAAGUCUGUGUUAUGUGUUGUUGCUGGACUGUGUUUUGCAGACUGGGCAGCAGCACUCACUCCACACCUGCAGCCAUAGAACAACUAGAGAUCAUAGUACUGGCCCUUGAUGUCGUUAUUGACAUGUUACCAUUGGUCAGCCUCCAAACUCUCCAACAUGC